rnacentral:rRNA from 1 species
GGAAGUCGUUCCCGGGACCCGUAGGUUUUUACGGGGAGCCCAUGAGUUUUAUCUUGGUCCUCUGAUUUUUCGGCGGAGGGGUGAGUAACACGUGGGCAACCUGCCCUGCAGACUGGGAUAACUUCGGGAAACCGGAGCUAAUACCGGAUAAUCCAUUUUACUUCAUGGUGAGAUGUUGAAAGGCGCUUUCGCGCCACUGCAGGAUGGGCCCGCGGUGCAUUAGCUAGUUGGUGGGGUAACGGCCUACCAAGGCGACGAUGCAUAGCCGACCUGAGAGGGUGAUCGGCCACAUUGGGACUGAGACACGGCCCAAACUCCUACGGGAGGCAGCAGUAGGGAAUCUUCCACAAUGGACGAAAGUCUGAUGGAGCAACGCCGCGUGAGUGAUGAAGGUUUUCGGAUCGUAAAACUCUGUUGUAAGGGAAGAACAAGUACGUUAGGAAAUGAACGUACCUUGACGGUACCUUAUUAGAAAGCCACGGCUAACUACGUGCCAGCAGCCGCGGUAAUACGUAGGUGGCAAGCGUUGUCCGGAUUUAUUGGGCGUAAAGCGCGCGCAGGUGGUUUCUUAAGUCUGAUGUGAAAUCUCGCGGCUCAACCGCGAGCGGUCAUUGGAAACUGGGGAACUUGAGUGCAGAAGAGGAUAGUGGAAUUCCAAGUGUAGCGGUGAAAUGCGUAGAGAUUUGGAGGAACACCAGUGGCGAAGCGACUGUCUGGUCUGUAACUGACACUGAGCGCGAAGCGUGGGGAGCAACAGGAUUAGAUACCCUGGUAGUCCCGCCGUAAACGAUGA